rnacentral:tRNA from 1 species
GGCUGUUUAGUCCUAGUGGUAUGAUUCUCGCUUAGGGUGCGAGAGGUCCCGGGUUCAAUUCCUGGAACAGCCC